rnacentral:tRNA from 1 species
GGUGUUGUGGCUCAGCGGUAGAGCACUUGCCUGGCAUGUGCAAGGCCUUGGAUUCGAUCCUCAGCACUA